UACGAAGGGGGCAAGCGUUGUUCGGAAUUACUGGGCGUAAAGGGCGCGUAGGCGGCUUACCAAGUCAGGCGUGAAAUUCCCGGGCUCAACCUGGGGGCUGCGCUUGAUACUGGUGAGCUUGAAUGCGGGAGAGGAUAGUGGAAUUCCCAGUGUAGAGGUGAAAUUCGUAGAUAUUGGGAAGAACACCGGUGGCGAAGGCGGCUAUCUGGCCCGUAAUUGACGCUGAGGCGCGAAAGCUAGGGGAGCAAACGGG
rnacentral:rRNA from 1 species